rnacentral:misc_RNA from 1 species
GAAGCAGGGGGGGAAAUUCUAAUCUAUAUGAAGGCUUUGGUUUGAUGGGGUUCCAUACUUCAUCAACUGCUUCUUCUUCUACUGGCACUGCUCAUGAUGUGUCAUUUGGUAGCUCUACGUGUGGGGUGCAGCUCUCAAGUUCAGCAGAUUCAUCUGAACAGAAUAUCCGCAUUGACAGAACCCUGAAACUAAAUUCCGGAUCAUGUUACCUGCCUCAUCCUGAUAAAGAAGAUACUGGUGGAGAGGAUGCUCAUUUUAUUUGCAGUGAUGAACAAGCAAUUGGUGUAGCUGAUGGUGUUGGUGGUUGGGCUGAUCUUGGUAUUGAUGCUGGGAAGUAUGCACGAGAGCUAAUGUCGAACUCAGUGGCCGCAAUUCAAGAUGAGCCAAAAGGUUCAGUGGACCCAGCCAGAGUCCUCGAUAAAGCUUAUACAUGCACAAAAGCCAAAGGUUCCUCAACUGCCUGUAUAAUUGCCCUCACAGAUCAGGGUCUGCAUGCUAUUAAUUUAGGAGAUAGCGGAUUCAUUGUGGUCAGAGAUGGAUCUACUGUUUUCAGAUCCCCUGUGCAGCAGCAUGAUUUCAAUUUCAC